rnacentral:lncRNA from 1 species
UGCCCACCUCGGCCUCCCAAAGUGCUGGGAUUACAGGCGUGAGCCACCACACCAGGCCACAUGGCUAAUUUUGGGGGGGUGGGGGUUUGGUAGAGACAGGUUUUCACCAUGUUGCCCAGGCUGAUCUUGAACUCCUGGGCUCAGGCGAUCUGCCUACCCAAAAUAAUAGGAUUAUAGGCAUGGGCCACAGUGCCCAGCCUGAAGAAAAGGGCCUUUGAAUUUGACAAUUGAGUGGCUUUCAGUGUAUCCACUUUGGUAGCUUGGGGGAGUGGGAACCAAUGAAUGGACAGCAAAGAAGUACCUUUAGUGAGAAUAGUUUAUGGAGUAAUCUUAGAAAUGUGGAAAAAGUUUAACAGACCACAGCAUAAAAAGGAGGCCUGAGGAAAGGUUUGUUUUGUCUUGCUUUUUAGAAUGGAACACCUAAGCAUAUUUGUAGACAAAAUGGAAAGAUUAAGGGAAUAAACUGAAGAUUCAUACUCCUGGAAAAGGCCAGAGACAAUGACAUUAAGAACACAUGCAGAUGGCCAGGCACGGUGGCUCACACUGUAAUCCCAGCAUUUUGGGAGGCUGAGG